AACGCACAUUGCGCCCCCUGGUAUUCCGGGGGGCAUGCCUGUCCGAGCGUCAUUGCUGCCCUCAAGCACGGCUUGUUCUUGGGCUUCGUCCCCCCUCCGGGGGACGGGCCUCAAAGGCAGCGGCGGCACCGCGUCCGGUCCUCGAGCGUAUGGGGCUUUGUCACCCGCUUCGCAGGCCCGGCCGGCGCCAGCCGACCCCCAAUCUUUUAUUCAGGUUGACCUCGGAUCAGGUAGGGAUACCCGCUGAACUUAA
rnacentral:misc_RNA from 1 species